GUCGCACCCGAGGUGGCGGCCGUUGCUCCAGGGGACUGAGUCGGCCGUCUCCCUUUAACUGGGGCUUGUGCUGUGUUUUCGAGCGUGGUUUCCCUAGGGCUGUGCUCCUUGGCGUGCCUCUCCCCUCGGCCCCUGUUAACGGACGCGACUCUGACUCCCCUCAGCUGGCAACCGAGGCCGCGACGCCAGGAUGGCGGACGUCUGCGAUUAACGUCGAGGGCGGUGUUCGUGUCUGAACUGCGCUCAGCCGCAUCCUUUCCCCGUCGGCCUUUCCAGCCAGUGCAUCGACCUGUCGUGGAAGUGAACGAAGACUCCUUGAAAGGGACUGGAACCCGCUGAAGCGAGGGAGUCUGCCACCAUCCUGUGCCUUUGGCGGAGGCUCGAAGGCAGGCAGGGAAAGCUUUUCAGCGACAAGCCGGAGAGGCCUCGGUGUGAGACAUCCUACCAAAACUUCUGCCACAUUAAUGACAUUCGUGGGGUCUCUCUCCAGUUUGAAUUAUAGAAUGUCUAACAGGGGCGCCUGGGUGACUCAGUCGGUUAAACCUCCGACUUCG